CAUAAGAAUAUUUGUUGGAGACGACAAAGUCACAUAACCCCAAAGUCCAUAAGCAUAACACAUAACCUCUUUUUCGCACUUCUUUCACGAGCACCCGAUUUCGCCGCCACUACCGGAGAUUACAAUCAACUCUGAGAGAGUAGCAUCAGGUGUUAUCAUCGUAUUCUAAGAAGCUAGUUCGUUGAUCCAAACACUAAUUAUGGAUCUUUCGGAAGAUAUACGCUCUCUGCAGCUUGAUUCAUCUGUAGAAGAUAGUGGUGCAAUAGAUGUGGAGGAUAUUAAGCCAAAAGAAGCUGAUGGUGCAGUUGAGAUGGAGGAAGAUAUUGUAGAGUCCACAAAUGCUGAACAGAUGGAAGUAGAGCCAAAAGAGAAGGAAAAGGUGGAAGCUCCUGUCCAUGAAGUAAAGGAAAAGGUGGAAGCUCCUAUCCACGAAGUAAAGGAAGUGAAGGAUGUUGAGGAGGCUAGGAACAAGAAGCGUCACCUUAAUGUCGUAUCUAUUGGUCACGUUGAUGCUGGUAAGUCAACGAUUGGUGGCCAAAUUCUUUUUCUUAGCGGGCAGGUUGAUGACCGUACAAUCCAAAAGUACGAGAAAGAAGCCAAGGAUAAAGCAAGAGACAGCUGGUACAUGGCAUACAUUAUGGAUACUAAUGAAGAAGAACGUUCAAAGGGUAUUACAGUUGAAGUUGGUAGAGCACAUUUCGAGACUGAGAGAACCAGGUUUACCAUUUUGGAUGCACCGGGUCAUAAAAGCUAUGUACCAAAUAUGAUCAGUGGGGCUUCACAAGCUGACAUCGGGGUUUUGGUGAUAUCUGCUCGGAAAGGGGAGUUUGAAACUGGAUAUGAGAAAGGAGGACAGACUAGAGAACACGUCUUGCUUGCAAAGACUUUGGGUGUAUCCAAGCUUAUAGUUGUGGUCAACAAGAUGGAUGAACCUACAGUCAAUUGGUCAAAAGAAAGGUACGAUGAAAUAGAGUCAAAGAUGAUUCCUUUCUUGAAAUCUUCAGGCUACAAUGUCAAGAAAGAUGUCCAAUUUCUCCCAAUAUCAGGUUUGGUUGGAUCAAACCUUAAAACAAGAGUAGACAAAAGUGUAUGUCCAUGGUGGGAUGGUCCAUGUCUUUUUGAAGUGCUAGAUAAUGUUGAAGUCCCUACACGAGACCCCAAAGGCCCCUUUAGGAUGCCAAUCAUUGAUAAAUUCAAGGACCUGGGAACUGUUGUCAUGGGAAAAGUAGAAUCUGGCUCUAUACGGGAGGGUGAUUCCUUAAUCGUCAUGCCCAACAAGGUUAAUGUGAAAGUUGUUGCCAUAUAUAUUGAUGAUGAUAAGGUCAAACGUGCAGACCCUGGUGAAAAUCUGCGGGUUAGACUGUCUGGAAUUGAAGAAGAAGAUAUAUUAUCAGGCUUUGUCUUGUCAAGCAUUUCGAAGCCAAUUCCAGCUGUAAAUGAGUUUGUUGCUCAGUUAAGGAUCCUUGAGUUGCUUGAUAAUGCAAUUUUUACCGCUGGCUACAAGGCAGUCUUGCAUGUUCAUUCAGUUGUUGAAGAAUGCGAGAUUGUAGAGCUGCUGCGGCAGAUUGAUUUAAAAACUGGGAAACCAAUGAAGAAGAAAGUUCUUUUUGUGAAGAAUAAUGCUGUUGUUGACUGUCGUAUUCAGCUAAACAAUUCAAUAUGUGUGGAGAAGUUUUCUGAUUUCCCACAGCUUGGAAGGUUUACCCUUCGAACUGAAGGGAAAACGGUCGCUGUGGGGAAAAUCAUCAAUCUUCCUUCUAUCGGCAGCAGUGCCUGACCAAUUUUGCUGCCACAGGUGGGGCCCUCUGUCCUCUGUGAGGCACUGUGUCACGCAAGGACAAAGAUGGCUAGAUGUUCAAAGCAAUAAUCACUGAAGCAUAUUUAGCAGCCUCGAGGGUAGUAUAUUUUUGUUUGACGGGAAAUCUGCACUUCAUUGGGUGCGCAUCACUGUAUUUUGAGUGAAUGUUCCGAAUGGUGCAAAUGAGGGUCUACACCAAGCAUAUGAUGCAGUUGCAUACUGGAUUGAACACUAGUUGAUUUUUAUCAGAUAAUUUGUUAGGGUUGUGCUAAUGUACUACUAUUUUGCUGUUAUGGUCAAGUGCUACUGCACAAACCUGCCUUUUGGAUGUAUAAAAUGAUUUCGCUGGUACUGGACUAGCCUACCAGUUAUAUUUUUGGUAAUAUAUUUAUGCUUCCUGUUUGUCUAUUUAUCCUGAUGAUAUUAUGCAGUUGGUUAGUUUGGUU